rnacentral:rRNA from 1 species
AGAGUUUGAUCAUGGCUCAGGAUAAACGCUGGCGGCGCACAUAAGACAUGCAAGUCGAACGAACUUAACCUUAAGUUUACUUUUGGAGCGGUUAGUGGCGGACUGGUGAGUAACGCGUAAGCAAUCUGCCUAUCAGAGGGGAAUAACAGUGAGAAAUCACUGCUAAUACCGCAUAAGCUGUGAGUAUCGCAUGAUACAAGCAGAAAAGGAGCAAUCCGCUGAUAGAUGAGCUUGCGUCUGAUUAGUUAGUUGGCGAGGUAACGGCCCACCAAGACGAUGAUCAGUAGCCGGACUGAGAGGUUGAACGGCCACAUUGGGACUGAGAUACGGCCCAGACUCCUACGGGAGGCAGCAGUCGGGAAUAUUGCGCAAUGGAGGAAACUCUGACGCAGUGACGCCGCGUGCAGGAAGAAGGUUUUCGGAUUGUAAACUAUUGUCGUUAGGGAAGAUAAAAGACAGUACCUAAGGAGGAAGCUCCGGCUAACUACGUGCCAGCAGCCGCGGUAAUACGUAUGGUGCAAGCGUUAUCCGG